UAUAUAUAUAGCUAUACCUCGUAAGGAAUUAAUCCAACGACCUAGUACGAUGAUGCCUGCCUUGAGAGUAAUAGCAAUGGUAACAAUCUUCAUCUCAAUUUCUGGAAUCCAUGCCAGAAAUAUUCCAGCUGAUCAUCUGAGUAUCAAUGGAGUAACUUAUAGUCAGAUUUUAGGGUUUGUUGGCAUUGUGAGAAAGGGCUCUUGUAAAGGGCUAGAUGGCGAUGGCUCCACAGAGUCAGGUAUAGCGAAUAAUGUUUUCCGACCACCGUUACCGUCACCUCCACCACCUAGGCCACCUCCGGGUCCCCGUUCUAGUAUAUCGUCCCUGCUUCAAGAAAUUACCUCUGCGUGAAGACCAUAUUUUCGAGUUUUAGUUUGUGUGAUAAUGUCUACCAAAUUAUAUAAAUAAGUUAAUCAAUGUUUCUGUAAUUUUAUUUAUAAUGUACAAAACCAAUAAAAAAAAUGAGGUGUGAUGUACAAAAGUUCAAAUUCAUGUUGGACUAGCUCGAUCUCAUAUUUAAAAAUGAUAGUUUGAUUGUGUAUUAUGUGAACUUUUAUAGACUUGAUAUAUAGUUUGAUUCAUGUUUAUGUAAUUUUAUUUGUAAUGUACAAAACCAAUGAAAUAAAGAGUAAGGGCUAGAAGUAGUCCUAAACAUA